rnacentral:rRNA from 1 species
CCUACGGGAGGCAGCAGUGAGGAAUAUUGGUCAAUGGCCGGAAGGCUGAACCAGCCAAGUCGCGUGAGGGACGACUGCCCUAUGGGUUGUAAACCUCUUUUAUAAGGGAAGAAUAAAUGCUACGUGUAGCAUGAUGUCUGUACCUUAUGAAUAAGCAUCGGCUAACCCCGUGCCAGCAGCCGGGGUAAUACGGGGGAUGCGAGCGUUAUCCGGUUCUAUUGGGUUUAAAGGGUGCGUAGGCGGUUUUUUAAGUUAGUGGUUAAACGUCGGGGCUAAACCUUGCAUUGCCAUUGAUACUGUAAGACUCGAGUUCAGACGAGGUAGGCGGAAUAAGAUGAGUAGCGGUGAAAUGCUUAGAUAUAACUUAGAACUCCAGUGGCGAAGGCAGCUUACCAGUCUGCGACUGACGCUGAGGCACGAGAGCGUGGGUAGCGAACAGGAUUAGAUACCCGAGUAGUC